rnacentral:lncRNA from 1 species
UCAGAGAUUAUGACCUUUACCCAGUGGGCAGCCAGGCUGCAGCGAUUCAUCUACCAGUAGUUAACAAUUUGGAGAUCCCGUGGUCUUAAAGAUAUACAGAAGGUCUCCUUACAACAGGGUGAGAAAGUGUACGCUUGAAGAAACGUUAAGUCUUACAAGAUGAAAGGAGAAAAUUUACCUUUAAAAAAUGGAAUAUGGGGCAUACAACAAUGUGCUUUGAAAAUGACUUCUACAUGUUUGAAGGAAACCAUUACUGUUGGCGUUCCAAGCAAGGAAGUAUUCCUGGGAAAGCAGACUGCUUCCCAGGUGAUAACAGCACAACAAUCGAAGGAAAAGGAAAAGUAACAGAUCUAAUAAAGUCCCCAUAAUAGAAUGCACGGUAAUACCAGCAAAAGCCGUUACUAUGAAAAAGACCGGGGCUAGGGUAGGGAGAGUGGACACGGGGCUUAUGUUCGCACCAAUCACCAUUAUCAGUACAAAGGGGCUGUGGACUAGGAAAAUGCAUCCGCUCCUUUUCCCAGGGCCCUAUGUACAGGGAGCCAGGUUGGGGGAUCCUGGGGAGCCUGAAGCCGGAUCUCCUAACCCUCACUAUCAGACAGAAACACAGGAGAGUCCCACACCCUAUCCCCUCAAAAUGUCAAAGAGCUCUGUAAGAAAAUCCGUGUAAAAAGUUAGUUGGCUUCAAGUAACUAAACUUAUUUUUAUUUUCCAGCCAUUGUUUUGGCAACAGAUCAAUGCAGCCAUAAUUUAUCUUUGUAGGGAGACCAACAUGGCACACUUUCACAAAGAUUUAAGGGAGCACCUUGGAAUGCAGGGCUUCUCACAUCUUCUAGUGAUUCCAUCCUUCUCACCUGUCUUGCCCCAUGGCCAUUAAAUUGAUAUGUUUUUGCCAAAUUGGUUUUUUUGGCUGUCUUAAACAAUCCCUGCCUAAUCAAUCAGACAAGCUGUGCAGUUGAUCCAAUUUGGCUGUGAAGAUGGACAAAGACACAACUCAGCUAUUUGUAUACUCUCAUAUUUUCCUGUCAGAAAUAUACAGGUGGGGACUUAUUCUCACCGAAAUAACAAAAUAAUUUUUUCCAUGAAUUAUCCCCCAAAUUGGCACCCCCAGGAACAUUCUGGCUUAGCUUUACCUGACCUGGAAACACUGACAAGCAUCAAAUUGAACUGAAAGUUAGACAGACAAGUAUUUCCAAUAUAUCUAUAGCAAGAAUUAUUUCAUUUUAAAAAGCAAGUCUUUCAGAGAAUACUGAUUCCAGUAUUCAAAGUCCUCUGCCAUAAUCACUGCUGGCAAAGUUCUCUUUCAGGAGCCUUGAUUAGUCGUUGCAUUAUUGGAAUAUGCCCCAUCAGAGUAUUUGCAUAUUUGAUUUUUUUAGUUAUUUAGAAAUACCUAAUUAUCAUAGUAUUAAUUAAUCUCAAAAAUAAUAUUAUGAAUACAUUUAAUAUUUAGGAGAAGCUUCUGUCUGCAGAACUAGAAUUAUGUAAUUUGGUUAAAAAUGUAACCUGUGCUUCAAUUCUUAUACUAAUUAACUAGCGUAAGUGAAUCACUUAGAAUGUCUCCAAGCCUCAAUUUCAUCUGUAAAAGUAAUCCUAAAAACAUUAAUGUGUCAAGUAUUUUUUAUACAAAUUAACAGGCCGGGCAUGGUGGCUCUCGCCUGUAAUCCCAGCACUUUGGGAGGCUGAGGGGGGCGGAUCAUGAGGUCAGGAGAUGGAGACCAUCUUGGCUAACAUGGUGAAACCCCAUCUCUACUAAAAAUACAAAAAAAAAAAAAAAAAAAAAAAAUUAGCCGGGCAUGGUGGUGGGCGCCUGUAGUCCCAGCUUCUUGGGAGGCUGAGACAGGAGAAUGGCGUGAACCGGGAGGUGGAGCUUGCAGUGAGCCGAGAUCGCACCACUGCACUCCAGCCUGGGCAACAGAGUGAGACUCUGUCGCAAAACAAAAAACAAACAAACAAACCAACAAAAUUAGCAGAGAUAAUAUGUGCAAAUUCAGUUUUGUAUAAUACAGCAAACUAUUCAAAUAUUAAUUAUGUUUUCCCAACAUGUUCUGACACUUUUGGGGCAAUACUGAGCCUUAUAUUUUUGUACACUAACUGCAUCACACUGAGCCUUAGAAAUUUUUAAUAAAUCCUUGUUGUAUUAACAUAUUUAGAGCAAAAAAUAGUAAUUUGCAUUUAGUUUGAAUUAAAUGUAUUUUUUAUUUGUUAUUUAAAUUUGGAUUUUUUAAAUCAAUUUAUUUAAUAGCUUUCUAAAUGCCUAAUUUUUUGAGAAUCAAUUCUCUUUCCCUUCUACAUCACACUUUCCCUUUUCUAUUCCAGGAAAAUGAAAAUAUAUUUGUGCACAUUUAUAUUGACUCGCCACUGCUUGUCUAGAUGUUUAGAAGAGCUAACUGUAAGAACAAAUAAAAAGAAAACUAGAUUAAAAUAUCAGAAAAAUAUAGAUACCUGUCCAAUUUCAUUCUAGUGAAAGUUCUUUCUAAAAAUAAAGCAGGCCAGGCAUGGUGGAUCAUGCCUGUAACCCUAGCUCUUUGAGAGGCUGAGGCGGGAGAAUUGCUUGAGCCCAAGAGUCCAAGCUGCAGUGAGCUAUGAUCACGCCACUGUACUCCAGCCUGGGCAACAGAAUGAGAUCUUGUCUCGAAAUAAAUAAAUAGAAAGAUAGGUAAAAAAUAAAUAAAAUAAAAGCAAAGGAAAUGUUAGCAUCUUAUAUAACCAUGGUAUAUUAACAAAACUAAUGAUUUAACAUUGAUACAGUAUUAAACUACAGACUGCUUUCCUAUUUCAUCACCUUUUUCACUAGCAUUUUUUUUUCUGUCCCAGAAUCCAACCCAGGUUAUCAUGGUGACUUUAGUUCUCAUUAGCUCGUUAAUGUGCUGCAAUCUGUGAAAGUUACUGUGUCUUUACUUGUCUUGGCUGACCUUUGUGCUUUUGAAGAGUACUGGUCAAGUAUUUUCUAGAAUGUCCCUCAAAUAGGCUUCCCUGAUGCUUUCUCAUGAUUAAACUGGGGUUAUAGGUUCUGGGGAAUAAAUAUCACAGAGCUCAUGCCCCAUCUCCCUGCACUAGAUCAACAAGAUUAUUACAUGUGAUGUUAACUUGUUCACUUGAUAACGUGCUGUUUCCACUGUAAAAAUAGCCUCUUCAUUAUAAUACAUUUCUCAAGAGUCAUUUCUCAUUAUACCUUCAAAAACAUCCCAGUUUGUCCCAUAGAUAAGGGUCAUAUCUCCCAUGUGCUAGCUAAAGUGCCUGGGGUAAGAAAUAAUUUGCAUUAACACUAAUAAAUUCAUUCAGAUUAUUAAACUCAUGGUUUACAAUGUGUUGGCCAACAGAAACAGAUACACAGUCAGAAAAAUUUUUCAGAACACAAUUUCCAAAAAUUUUCCAAAUUUAUAGAACUGUAUAAUACAUUUUGAAGAAAAAUAAUAAUCAAACCACAAGGGAUCUUAAGGAAGAAAAUCUGAUAGACAGUUUAAGAAAGUUUUGGGCCUGGGAUUCUACUUCUAGGAAUCUAAUCUGCAGAAAGAGUCCAAUGUGUGUAAAUAUAUAACCACAUGGUUAGUUAACACAGCAUUGUGGAAUACGCACAUUUGUUAAAAACCGAAAACAAAAAUAAGAUUGGAAAGAUCUCCAAGACAUUACUGAAUAAAAGACAGGAAAGUGUAGAACAA